UGAAACCGUUUAGGGGUAAACCUGAGAAACCCGAAAGGUCGAAGGAAGAAAUUCAUUCGCGUUUCGACGUAGGCGGCGGAUGGUCGCGCGACGGGGAAACGUUCGCGUUUUUCCGCGCCCUCGAUCCGUUCGAACCGGCGACGAACGCGUGCACUUUUCUUCUGGUAGGACGUCGCGAUUCGUCGAGUGUCGAUCUACGGUACGCGGUGGAGUCCGUUCGAUGACCGUUCUCGCGAACGAUCGACGAACGAACCCGCGAUAUCCCGAUCGACUCGCUCGACGAUAUACGAAAGGUUAGAGGCCGCUCGUUAAGGAGCGUUCGGCACGCGGCAAGCGCGUCGGAUGCGUCGGCAAUCGGACCCGGUGCCGAUUUCGACCUCCGAUGACUGUUGGCCGCGUCGUUCUCGAACAGACCUCGUUCUUCUUCAAUUUUGGAGGAGAAUCGAAAACCGAUCUGCGACGCUAUAGCUUUGGGUAAUUUCAGGACCCGUCUUGAAACACGGACCAAGGAGUCUAGCAUGUGCGCGAGUCAUUGGGAAUCACUAAACCUAAAGGCGCAAUGAAAGUAAAAGUCUUCCUAGCGAAGACCGAGGGAAGAUGAGCGUAUCUCGUUGCCGUCAAAAGCGGCGGGAUCGUUUCGCAUUCCCGGGGCGUUUCGUUCUCAUCGCGAGAUGAGGCGCACCAAAAGCGUACACGCUGGGACCCGAAAGAUGGUGAACUAUGCCUGGUCAGGACGAA
rnacentral:rRNA from 1 species